GCGACCCCAGGUGAGGCUAGAUACCCGCUGAAUUUAAGCAUA
rnacentral:rRNA from 1 species